UGGGGAAUUUUGGACAAUGGGCGCAAGCCUGAUCCAGCAAUGCCGCGUGCAGGAUGAAGGCCUUCGGGUUGUAAACUGCUUUUGUACGGAACGAAAAGCCUCUCUCUAAUACAGGGGGUGAUGACGGUACCGUAAGAAUAAGCACCGGCUAACUACGUGCCAGCAGCCGCGGUAAUACGUAGGGUGCAAGCGUUAAUCGGAAUUACUGGGCGUAAAGCGUGCGCAGGCGGUUUUGUAAGACAGUGGUGAAAUCCCCGGGCUCAACCUGGGAACUGCCAUUGUGACUGCAAAGCUGGAGUGCGGCAGAGGGGGAUGGAAUUCCGCGUGUAGCAGUGAAAUGCGUAGAUAUGCGGAGGAACACCGAUGGCGAAGGCAAUCCCCUGGGCCUGCACUGACGCUCAUGCACGAAAGCGUGGGGAGCAAACAGGAUUAGAUACCCUGGUAGUCCACGCCCUAAACGAUGUCAACUGGUUGUUGGGGAUUUAUUUCUUCAGUAACGAAGCUAACGCGUGAAGUUGACCGCCUGGGGGAGUACGGCCGCAAGGUUAAAACUC
rnacentral:rRNA from 1 species